rnacentral:lncRNA from 1 species
CUCCUUGAUAGGCAUUCCUCCAUCAUCACAUGCUAGAGUACUUUCUGCUGUUAACUGUGGACAGCAGAUGAUGAUCACUUCUUGACUGCUGCUGAAAGGGUUUAAUUUCUUUCCCCAAGCCUUACAAGUCCCACUGCAGAAGUACAAAUACACUGACAGCAGAUAGUACACAUGCUGUGAACAACUAUUAGGCAGUUUUAAGUUAAAAAGGGUUAAGUUAUGUUAUGGGCAAUGAGGAGUAUUAGAGACUAUUUUGAGGAUGUCCUUUUAAUAGUGACAGAACAGAAUUCUACUGUCCACUCAUCCCUAGAUGCUUCUGCUGCUAGAAAGGCAUCUACCACAGACUUCUCUACAUCAACAUCACCUGCUACAAGACAGCUGACUCAAAAAUCUCUGUGUGAGAAACCACAUUUUACCAUGAGAACACCUAUUGCACUAAUAUAA